CACAAUUUAUGUGUGUUUUCCAGCUUAAUUUCUCAUCAAUGAAAACUCCCAAGAAAUUUGACUUCGGUUACAAUUUCAAUUUCAACAUCAUUCAAUAAUAAAUUUGUACUUAA